UCCGAUAUAGUGUAMGGCUAUCACAUC
rnacentral:tRNA from 1 species